rnacentral:lncRNA from 1 species
UCAGUAAUACAUAUAAGUAAUGAUACGGUCACAAAUUUCUUGUACAAACCGUUUUGAUAUAACGUUAUAUUGAUCAAUUGGAGAAAACUUUACAUGAAACACAUGUUUUAUUUUCAUUAUUUUCUAUUUUUAUUCAAUUAAUACAAUUAUACAACCAGUUUGAACAAAAAAUUUAUAAUUUUAUCAAUACUGAAUAAAUAUGAUUAACAGUCUCUUUUUCCUCUUUAAUGGUUGAAUGUAUGCUUUAAGGGGAUAUGUCAAGAUUGCUAAUAAAUGUUAUUUUACCAUUUACAUAAUUCAAAACAACCUAUUUUAUGAAAGAGCUUUCCUUAAAUACAUAUAUAAUAUUGAUUACUUAUCAUUUUUAAUAUUCUUAACAUAGAUUCUUAAGGCAGAUAUUAAUAAAAGCCUUAUCAAAAAUUAAUUAAAAAACGAGAGUAGACUGUAUCCUAAAACAUAAUUCUCACGUGGGAUUUGAGUUGCCGUUAUACUAAAUAUAAAUAUAUAUAUAUAUAUUUUAAUCUUUUUUUAACAUUUAGAAAAUUUUCUUUUUUAAUAUUUAACUUCAAAGUCAAUGUCCGGCUCUAGUGGUAAGGAACGGUCAUCCUAACUCUUAUGGGUCAAGUCUUGGGUUUGAGUUUCAAUGGAUACGUGAGUUACUAGAUUAAAAAAAAAAUAGAGAUAUUUUAUCUUUUUUUCUUGUUAUUUAUUUUUGAAUAUUUUUCUUUUUCUGGAAGGUUUAUCCAUACCAAAAUAUGGGUCUAAAAAUAUGAGAAUAUUAAAAUUUCAAGAACUAAGAACUGCCCUUUAUUCACCAUUUAGCUUUGGUAAGUUGAGAUGAGACACUCUAGUGUCUUAAAGUUGAGAAAAACAUAUAUGGUAGUCACAAAUAUACCUUAAAAAAACUCAUUAGGAAACAUGCUAAGCAAUUCUUUAUUGUGCAUUAGCAAAUUAAUUGUAGGAUAUCACUACUUUAUGGACCACUUAAUUAAAUUCAUUAUUUUGACAACAAAGUGUAUCAGAAUAAUUCAGAUAAUUACAUCACUUAAAAAUACAUGGGUACAAAGUUAAACCCAGAGUGUCACUAUUUAUCUUUUCCUCCUAGUUCUGUACACUUUGCUUAUAUUUGUCAAUAUAUAUAUAGAGUACUGUUUCAAUCCUGGAUUCCGGAUUGGAACAAUGUCUGAGAGAGUGGCUGGUGGCCUUUGGAUUUGAAUCCAAAGGCCGCUCCACCAUGUGCAGCCAAACCAAAAAAUAUUAAAAGAGGCUGUUUGGAACAGCCUCCUAUAUAUAUAUAUAUAUAUAUAUAUAUAUAUAUAUAUAUAUAAUUAUGAUAGACCACUACCGAACCAACUCAAUCCCUUGCAAAAUAAAGCAAUGUUUUUUUCUUCUUUCCCUAUAAUUUUAGUUUUACACAACUUUCUCUUCGUUGGAUUAGAAAUAGAGCUAGCCAGUUGAAGUUGCAAAUUGCACAAUAGAAUUUGGUCAGUUUCAAACAUCACUCACAGCUGGGAAUUUGAAGCAAUCAUUGGAUGGCAAGAUGGUCUACGAGACAUUAGCUAAACCACCACUGGAUGAUGAUAACAACGAACCCUAAUUUCAAUUCCAAAUCUGCUUAAUUGAAUUGAUAAAUAUUAAUUCUUCACAAGCUCACAUAAUUUGACACCCCCAAUGCUUGCAAAUGCUAUUGCCUCUGUUAGAAGUCUGACGGGGGAAUUUGUGACAUCUCCUGACAAAUUUUACGUGCAAAUUAAUUAUCAAUUUUAAUCAAACACAGUGUGUGUGCACAAGAUGAUGGCUGAUUGCCGAUUCCGCAAGCCUGUUUUGCUUGUUAAGCCAUGCAUGCGCCACAAAGCGUGGCUUCAAAAUUAUCAACAUUACAAUUACAUCAACCAAUUGAUACAAUAUUAAACCUUAUCAUCCCUACUGUUUAAUUAAUUUAAUUAAUCCCAUGUAACGCGUCCACACACGCGCCGAUGAAGUGGUAUUGCUAGUAUUUUUAUUAAAUAAUUUUUUGUUUAUUUUUUAUUUUUGACCUGACAAACUAUGUGUGUGUGCGUGUGUGUGUGUGUAAAAGAGCAUCCUUCGAAAGAAGAGAAAUUAGCUAGACCCAGAUCGCCAUUAGAUCCAAUGGCAUGUUAAUUUAAUAUAUAUUACAAAACAUAGUCCCAAAUUUUUAUAUAUUUUUAACUAAGUAUAAGCUUAUCAGUACAAGUUCUGAAGAAUUAAGACUUUAAGGACAAUCAAUAAAUUUAAUACAUAAUAAUAUAAGUUCUGCAUUGGCAUGGCAUCUUCAAUUUUAUAUAUAUUGCAACAGGAUUAAUUUACAUUAUUUGAGUCACCAACAACAUUCAAUUUAAUGGGCUCCACCUAGAGUUUUAACGGUCAAUAUUGAUCCAAUUGGUCAAAAUCAUUGUCACCUCAAAAUUUGCACAAUUAACUAGACAACGAUGAGAAUAAAAGAAAUUUUAGGUUUCUAUUAAAGAUUUAAUUUUACUCUUAUAGGCCUAUGUUCAAAUUAUGAAGGAAAGUGUAACACAUAAUUGAAGCAUUGAGAUUGGUGAUUGAUUAAACAAAUAUAAAUCAAGUUUUUUUUUUUAAAAAAAAAGACAAACUUAAUCAUAAUUUAUAUAAUAAGGUAGUAUUUACUUUUUGAAUUGAAGUGAAAAUUUAGGGAUUGAGAAUGUGGGGUGAAAGUGCGAGUGUUAAUAAUUUAUUUAUUUACAUUAGAAUAAGAGUGUAGAAUAGAAAUUAAAAUCUUAUUUAUAUAUUUACUUUGUCCUUGACUAGAAGUGGAUUAUUUUAAAUUAUAAUUAUGUCAUUAUUUAAAGAACUUUAAUAUUAUAAAAUAAACUAUUUAUUUAUUUUAAUUUUAAUUAUAUAAAUCAUAACCAUUAUUAAUAUUCUUAAUUAUGUAUAUCAUAAUUUUUAUUUUAUUUAAUUUUAAUUAUGUAAAAAUAAUUUUAGAUUCUUGAUACUAUAUCGUAAGACAACAAUAUUGAAAGUAAAUACCAUUAUUCUCUCUUAAGAUUUGACUGAAACUUAAGGCUCUGUUUGGUAUUAUAUAUUAUUUAGCAAUUAUGAUUUUAAUCAAAUUCAAACUACUAAAAUACUUCGUAAAAACUUACAACUUAGUUUUUUAAAAGCUAAGCUUUUAAUCCAAAAUUAUUUCAUUUUAUGUUUUUUAAAAAGUAGAGAGAUGGUAAAGUUUUCUAAUGAAUUUUUGAAACCGCCCACCUCUCCCAAAAUUUGAACGAUAGCCAACUAAAUAUAAUUACUUGAAAAUCAAUCGACCAGCACUAUGGGGCCAACUUUUACCCUGUAGUUAGAAAAUAUAAAAUGCUAAAAUCUCACUAAUUUAAAUUUAUCAAGCACUUAAUGAAUAAUAUGUUAAAUACGAUAUAAUUUGAAAUGAAAUCUUAAAACUUUAUAGCUACUAGUGAACAAAAAAAAUUCUAACUUAAAAAAAUUAAUUUUAUGAAAUACCCAUCAUUUCACUUAACUGCUAGAGUUUGUAUUUUACAACCACCGUAAUUUCAAAGCCACAAGACUAUCAUAAUCUCAACGAUUCUAAACCUCAUAAGUAUCAAUGAAAUUUUUCCUUGAAUGCCUAUGUAGACUAUGAUCACAACCUAAAGUUGAACGAAUCACGUGGGUAAGCGACUUCAACAAACAGGCCAAAACACAAGUGGGUCAAUCUUUUACAUUCUAUAAUCAUCAAAAGAAGAAAAAUCCUAAAAAUAAAAAAGAGAAGAAAAAAGAAACAAAACAAGGCAUAUUCACGUCUCAAGCUACAACAUUAAGUGAGAAAAUAAUGAAGAUUUGGACUUUUGGGAAGUAAAAAAGAAAAUGAAUUGAGUGGAGUGGUAGCUUUACCCACAACACAUCCCUGAUUUUGAGGCCAUAUCACGUGAGGACUCGAAUCCAAAAAUUUUGCCCCCACUAAUUAAUUUCCCUAACAAACCAAACUAUAUAAUAUCCUAUCACUAUGUAACAAAUGAAGCUUAUAUAUUACAUUUAUAAUAUUUUAUAUGAAUAAAGUCAAAAUAAAUAAAUAAAUUUUGUUCCAUGUAGGAGAAAAGGCUAAUUAAAAUAUAACCUUUAGGACCAUAAAGGUGGAAACAAAUAAAAUUAAAGCUAAACGGCGCUGCUUUGGCAGCCCCCUUGCUUUAAGGGUCGUGGUGGCCUUGGGAGUUUCCCCUAUGGAAUCUAUACACGUUUUGUUUCUGUCACUACCUCAUAAGCUCAACCUAAAAUCCCUUGUUUAUUCAUUAAAUUAUGUUUGAGAAGAGGGUUAAUAUAAGGACAAUCUCACUGUAAGGUUAAUUUAAAUCUAUUUGAUUGGUUAAUAGUAUUUCAUCUACUAAAUUAGAAAGAGUGAAUGUUGAAGUGUGCUUUAAGGACACAUAUUAAAAUACUAAAAUUGGCAAGUUCUUUAAAUUGUGAUUGUGUCGAUGUGUCGAAAAAUAGACAUAAAGAAUGAUUAUUGGUGGAAAGAAUAGGAGGCUAUGGUUCUUGUGGCGAGGGCAAUCACUCCAUAGAUUUACUUAUGGUAUAUUUAUUUGUAUAUUGUGACUUGGUUUUGAAAGUGAUCCAAGAUUGAGCAGAAUGAAAAUUUUAAUGAGGUGUGUCACUGAGCAAACAUAAAAGCUUUUUGACUCCCGAGAUCAUAUUCUAUAAUCAAGAGCAAGCCCUUUUAUUUUUUUAUUUUUCUUUUUUAAACAAAUUAAAGGCCCAUGCUGUCUUUUGAAGUGAGACUAUGAAAGCUAAACAAUGAGAAGUCAAUUGAAGUGGUUGUUUGGAUGUGUUACUCCUGGGAUGUGAACAUUUCACAAACAAUUGAUUAUGUAAACAAAGUUCUGUUUGGGCCAAAAAGGGCCUGGAUAACGUGAAAUUUGGGGCUCAAAAGUCAAAAGGCCUGAAACUCAAAGCUUUUUACUAUCCUCUCAGCAAACUUGGCUCAUUCAAUAAUUAUGGGUGCAUUUAGUAGUUUGCAUUUUAUUGUUUUGUAUUGGAUUAAAAUAUUGUUCUUAUACUAGUUUAGAUUUGUAAGUUUGUAUUAUAUUAUAUUUUAUUGCAUUAAAAAUAUGUUCUUAUGCUAACUCUUAUUUUGGUUAUAAUUUCUAGUUGCAUUACAUUCAAAAAGUGGCUAAGUCUCUAUUUGAUAUAAUUUUUUAAAUAGAGUUUUUGUUAAUAGAGCUUUUAAAAGUAGAAUUUUUAUCCAAAAAAUUCUAGUUGUUUAGUUGUUAAUGAGAGCUUCUAUAAAAAAAUAUAUAAUUAUUUUAAUAGGUAAGUUUAAUAAAAUUAUAUGAAAAUAAUGAAAUAAGAUUGCCAAAUAAAUAGAUGAUAUUUUAAUAUUUUAAAAAAACUUCUCAACCUCUACUUCCAAAAGUCUAAAAUUUGAGAUUUUACUAGUAAAUGCAAAAUAACUUAUUUAAUUUUUAAAAAUUGUAUCAAAAAAGACAACCAAACAGUAAGAUCUUAUAAGAUUAAAUAAACAUUUAUUAUCAUUAGAUAAGUAAUACUAAAUAGACACUAAUACAAUAAAAGAUAUAUAAAAUAAACUCAUGGAAUUAGGAUUAGACCGUGUUGCAUUAAAAUAUUGUUCAGAUUUUAAAUAUAAUCAUUUAACUUUUAUUGUUUAAUACGAUAAUAAAUUUAAAUUUAUUAACUAUUAAUUUAUAUUUAUAUUUAAAUCUUCCAACAGCUGCCAAGUAAUCUUUGGCCUUGUCACAUGAAGGGAUGUUAUCUCUAAUUGUUCUAUCAAUGGUGUAUUUCAUUGUGUCCAGACAGUGUCUGUUAGAAUCAUCCCAAGCUGUCCACUCUACUUUUUCAACAGUUGCCAAGUAAUCUUUAAUAAAGAAUAUCUAGAGCUGAGGAAUCAAUAAUAAUUAAAAAAAAUUAAGCAUGCGAAAACAAAAUCAUGCUAUAAGCAAUGACUCCUCAUUCUAAUUUUCUCCAAUAGCAACAUAAUAUGUUAGGCAUCCUUUAACAAUAUAGGAAUCCAUUAACUUAAAGAUAAAGCAGACAAGUUGAAUAUACUACCAACAUUGACCUAUUACUGAUAGGGUAAUUAAGCCACUCAGUAGACAAUACCCAACAAAUCUCUUUAUCUACCCAAGCAUCCUACUAAGUAGUGAUUUACUGACAGGACAAUAUCGACACCCAUAUGGAUCUCGGUAAUAGCGAUAAUAAUCCAUCACAUAAUUCAUAAUUAAUAAUUAUAAAUGAGCAUUUGAUUGAAAAACAUCAAAUAAUUUAUCAUGAUUGGUCCUACGACAUGUAGAUACACAAUCACUCUAAAUUGUAGUUUUGUAGCACAUAAAAUUAUACAUUAACAAAAUUGAGACUAAAUAAACUUUAUCAAACCAAAUAAAGUUUCUACCAAAAUAUUAAAUCAAAUAAAAUAUCUAUAUACCUCAAUGAAAUGUAAGAAUGUUAUGCCGCUAACAUCCAAUAAUGAUGGAUUAUUCUAAAUUUAAAAUUCUAAAAAAUUACUAAAAAUUGUAAAUAUUUUGGAUUAAAAUAACGAUUUUUGAGACUUAUGGUUACUGUUUUUAAUAUCAAAAUCCUUGGCCCCCAUUGAAAAUAAAAUAAAACAAGUUAUUGAGAAAAAAUACCAUUUAUCAAAAUAUCAAGGACUGUAAUGAUAUUUGGUCACGUUGACCAUAAGUCAAGGACCCUUUUGAAAAGUUUACAAAAUUCUGAACCAAACUCGAAUUUCUAAGUGCAAAUAGUUUCCAAAUGAUGGGCCAUACUGAAAAUUUAUGAAGUUUAAGGAUCCCAAUUAUAUUAUCCCUACAACUUCAUCUUCAACAUCGAGAUGGAUGUACAGUAAUGUACAGUACGCUACAGUAACCCUUGCUCAUACCAUCCCGAUUUUGUCCACUAAAAAUUAUGAAAAAAAUUAUACUUUUACUCCAAAAUCAUCACCCAUGUAUUAUUCAACAACCAUUUGCUCAAAUAUGCCCAAAAUCAAAAAAUUCAAAAUUGAAGAAAAAAUUUUAUAAGUGAGCUAAGUUUGAUUCAUCAACAAAUUAUAUCAUGGUUUACAAAGAAAUGCAUAACCAUAUGCUCUGAUACCAAUUGCUGAAAAAAUAUUAGUUUUAUGCCCUUAAUCUUGCAUUUCCAAGUAAACACAUGCAUUUAAUUAAGUUUCAAGAUUUUCCUUCAUUUGCCAUGAAUCUAAGCUUGUAAGUUUGUUAUGGAGCUUUGCAGUAGCCACGAACUAUAUUCAAACCUCUAAAUUUUCUUCUUUUCACCUUAUCUCAAGAUUUGAACUUUUAAAAUUUCGUCUUUCAUCUUAGCUCAAGAUUUGAGUUUCUUUCCUCAAAUUCACUGCACAUAUAUACACGGGAGAGGAAGAGAGAAAGAAAGAGAUUGUGCACUACACUCUUGCUUCAGCUUCUUCAACAAUAAAUUUCUAAUCGGCUGAAAUUCCUUAAAUAUUGUGGUUGAGUGUAGGGAUUAACUUGUGUGUUAGUACAAAUUUAUUCAUUUCAUUAUGAGCUAAUAUAAUACAAUUAAAGAUUAUAUUUGUUCAUAAUAUAUUAUUGUAUAUGAUAUGUCAAAAUCAUAUUCAUUAACAUAAUAUUUGAUCACUUAAUAAAUGAAUCUGUCAAAAUUGCUCCUUAAUAUUUGACAUCAAUCACGUAUUAAUUCGGUAAAAUAUAGAAAACAAUUAAAAUGAUUUAUGUCAGCCCACAAAAUGUGAUAAAUAAAUCUAACAAUUAAUUCAUCUGGAUGUUGCACUAAAUAUUUCUAGAUAUGUAGCCACUUAUGUACUGCCACCCUCGAAUUUUAUAAGCAUUCCCCCAUCAUUUAAUCUCAUUAUAUAACCAAAACUACUAGGGCUAAGCUACAACUUGUUACCAUUUAAAACUAUAGCCAAAACCACUGAUUUUGACAUAUCCUAUACAGUAGUAUAUUAUGAACAAAUAUAAUAUUUAAUUAUAUUAUUUUAGCUCAUAAUGGGAUAGAUAAAUUUAUACUAACAUAUGAAACAGUAUCUACACUCAACCACAAUAUUUAAGUAAUUUCAACCUAUUGGGAGUUUACUAUUGAACAAGCUGAGGCAAGAGUAUAGCGCACAAUCUCUUUCUUUCUUUCUUUCUUCCUCUCCCGUGUAUGUGUAUGCAGUUAAUUUAAGCAAAAGCUCAAAUCUUGAGCUAAGGUUGAGCUAAGGUGAAAGAAGCAAGAUUCGGAGAUUUGGAUCUAGUUUGUGACUACCUAUAGAAGCUCCAUAACAAGCUUGCAAGCUCAGAUUCAUGGCAAAUCAACGUAAAUAUUAAAAUUUAAUCAAAUGCAUAUGUUUACUUAGAGAUGCAAGAUUAAGGGCAUAAAGUUCAUAUUUUUUUCAUCAAUUGGUAUCACAACAUAUGAUUAUGUCAUUCCUUGUAAACUAUGACCAAUUUUGUUGAUGAAUAAAACUUAGCUCACUCAUGAAAUUUUUUCUUUAAUUUCAAAUUUUUUUAUUUUGGACAUAUUUGACCAAAAUGUUGUUGAAUAAUACAUGAGUAAUGAUUUUGGGGUAAAAAUACAAAAUUUUCAUAAUUUUUGGUGGCCUAAAUCGAGGUGGUAGGAGUAAGGGUUAUUGUAGCGCACUGUACAUUACUGUAGAUCCAUCCCGUGGUUGAAGAUGAAGUUGUAGGGAUAGUAUCAUUUGGAUCCCUAAACUUUAUAAAAUUUCAUUAUGGCUCAACAUUUGGAAACUGUUUGCACUUAGAAAUUCAAAUUUGGUUUAAACUUUUGCACAUUUUUCAAAAGUGUCCUUGACCUAUGGUCAACGUGACAACAUAUCUUUUUAAUCCCUGAUAUUUUGAUAAAUGCUAGUUUUUCCCAAUAACUUAUUAUAUUUUAUUUACAAUUUGGGCCAAAGGUUUCGAUAUAAAAAAUCAUAACCAUAAUUCUAAACAAUCUUCAUUUUAGUCCAAAAUCCUUACAAGUUUUGGCUAUUUUUCAGAAUUCCAAAUUUAGAAUAAUCCAUGAUUACUAAAUAUUAUGGGUCUAGCAUUCAUACAUUUCAUUGAGGCAUAUAAAUAUUUUAUUUGAUUUAAUAUUUUUGUAAAAACUUUAUUUGUAUUUGAUAAAGUUUAUUUAGUCUCAAUUUUGUUAUUUAUAUAUAAAUAAUGCAAAACUACAAUUUAGAGUGAAUGUUUAUAUACCUAUCGUAGGACCAAUCAUGAUAAAUUAUUUGAUAUUUAUAAUCAAAUGCCCAUUUAUAAUUAUUAUUAUGAAUUAUACGAUGGAUUAUUAUUCCUAUUACCGAGAUCCAUACGGGUGCUAAUAUUAUUAUGUCGAUAAAUCACUACUUAGUAGGAUGCUUGAGUAGAUAAAUAAAUUUGUUGGGUAUUUUCUACUGAGUGACUUAAUUACCCUGUCGGUAAUAGGUCAAUGUUCAUAUUAUAUUCAACUUGUCUACUUUAUCUUUGAGUUAAUGCACUCUUAUAUUAUUAAAGGAUGCCUAACAUAUUAUGUUGCUACUGGAGAAAAUUAGAAUGAGGAGUCAUUGCUUAUAGCAUGAUAUUUUUUUUCGUAUGCUUCAUUUUUUUUUAUUAUUGAUUCCUCAGCUCUAGAUGUUCUUUCUUUUCUCCAAGUUGCCUCCAUCAAGACUCUAACUCGGACAAAUUACGAGGACUGGCGUGAGUCCAUUAUAUUUUAUCUGUCUACUUUAAAUAGAGACUUGGCAUUAAGAGUAAAUAAACCAACCAAGCCCACAGAUAAGAGCACUGCUUCUGAAAAAGUAGAGUGGGCAGCUUGGGAUGAAUCUAACAGACAUUGUUUGGACAAUUAGAGAUCAUUGAUAGAACAAUUAGAGAUAGCAUCCCUACAUGUGACAAGGUCAAAGAUUACUUGGCAGCUGUUGGAAGAACUUUCAAGAAAGUAGAUAAAGCUGAAAAGGGUAAUUAUUUGAGGUUGCUUGCUAAUACUCAGUAUGAUAGUGUUUCUAGGGUGAGAGAGCACAUUUUUAAAAUGACCAAUUACCAUAAGAAACUAAAAGACAUGGAUGUCAAUUUGCCUGAUAACUACUUAGUCUUCCAAUUCUUAAAUCCCUUCCACCAUAGUUUGGCAGUCUAAGACGCCAAUACAAUACUCAUAUAGGUGCUUGGAAUAUCGAUGAGUUAACUACUUAUGUGGUUCAAGAAGAGGAAACAUUGAAGAAAGGACAAUCUCAAACUGCGAUGAUGGCUACUACUCAAGAAAGUGGCAGUCUGAAGAAAUGUUAUUCAAAGGAUAUCAAUAAGUUUUUUAAGAAGAAGAAAUUUGGAAAAAAAACUUCACGUGGCAAUUCUCCUACCACUUUUAGUUCCACUUCUAAAGGCUUUAAGAGAAAGUGUCAUUUCUGUAAGAAACCUAGGCACAAGAAAUCAGAAUGCAAGGGAUUCAAAGCAUGGCUGGAAAAUAAAGGUAUUCAUAUAGUUUUUAUGGGCUUUGAAUCUAAUCUUAUUGAUAUUCUUUCUAAUGCUUGGUGGUUGGUUACUGGUGCGACCAUUGAUAUAACGAAUUCCUUACAGAAAUUCAGAAAUAGAAGGAAACUCAAUAAAAGAGAGCUAAUGGUUCACAUGGGCAAGGGAGUAAAAGCUAGAGUUGAAAGUAUAUGAGUUGUUAGACUACACUAGCUACAUACCACUUUUUGGAUCUAUUGGAUACAGCUUAUAUUCCUUCUAUUAGGAGAAACUUGAUAUAUGUAUCUAUUUUAGAGAAAUGUGGCUAUACUUUUCAUUUUGGUGACAGAAAAGUUUACUUAAUCCGUAAUUCAGAACUAGUUGGUUCUGACACUCUAUAUGAUGGCUUAUAUAUGAUUUAUUUAUUUUCUCAUACUACUGAAUCGUCAUCCAAUGCUCAUGUUAUGAAUGUAGUUAGCUCUAAUCAUGCGGGGGUUGAUGAAAACUCCUCUAUGUUGUGGUAUAAACGGUUAUGUCACAUUUCUAAAUAAAGGAUGGAAAGACUCAUUAAAGAUGGCAUCCUCCACAAUCUAGAUUUCUCUAAUUUUGACACUUGUAUUGAUUGUAUCAAAGGCAAACUUACUGCCAAAAUCAGAAAAGAUAGAACUCAAAGAAGUCAACAUGUGCUGGACUUGAUACAUACAGACAUCUGUGGGCCAUUUACUCAUACUGCAAUUGGAGGUUAUAGGUACUUCAUCACGUUCAUCAAUGAUUUUUCUCGUUAUGGUCAUGUUGAACUUCUUAUUGAAAAGUCUGAAUCUUUAUUUGCGUUUCAAGCAUUUAAGGCUAAUGCUGAGCUCCAAAAGGGCAAGAAAAUUAAAGCAAUAAGAUUAGACAAAGGUGGUAAGUAUUAUGGGCGAUAUGAUGAAACUGGGUGUAAUCCUAAACCUUUUGCAAGAUUUCUUUAGAAAUGUGGAAUAAAAGCUCAGUACACAAUGCCCGGGACUCUUGAACAUAUUGAAAUUGCAAAAAGAAGAAAUCGUACUCUUCUUGACAUAGUGCGAUGUAUGCUAAGUAACUCUACCUUACCUGAUUUUCUAUAGGGUGAAGCCUUAAGAACUUCAGUUUACAUGAACCAGGUACUUAGUAAAUCAAUGCCCAAAACUCUUUAUGAAUUGUGGUCAAGGAAGAGACCGAGUCUUUGUCAUUUCCAUGUUUGGGGAUGCAAAGCAAAAAUGAUGUCUUAUAAUCCACAAUCAAGGAAACUUGAUCUAAAAACUAUUAGUGGUCAUUUUAUUGGCUAUUAUAUAGGCUCAAAGGGUUCUAGAUUUUAUUGUCUUUCCCACACUACUAGAAUCAUUGAGUUUGAUCGUGCCAUUUAUUUUGAGUAUGAUCACAAUAGUGGGAGUUCUGAGCCUUGCAAUCUUACAUUGAGAGAAGAACAUAUGGUUUUACUUAUUCCACCUUUUCUAACUUCUGCGAUGGGAUUACCACGUACUGAUGUUUCUUCUGUUAAUCAUGAACCUCAUCAUGAUAUGGAGCCUAUAACUGUAGAGGAUGAUGUUACUGAUAUGCAAUUGAGGGAUGAGAAAGGGUCAGGAGAUCUAUAAUUUUUUAUGAUUGUGAGGUUUAUUUGCAGGAACAUGAUUUUAAUACUGACUUGUCAUCUAAUCUUGUUACCUUUCAGAAGGCUAUCGGUUGUUCAAAAUCCUCAUCUUGGAUACAAGCAAUGCAUGAUAAGAUGACAUCUAUAUACCAUAAUGGGGGUUUGGGAUUUAGUUGAAUUGUCAUAUAGAUGCAGACUAAUUGGUUGCAAAUGGGUUUUCAAAACGAAGAGAAAUGCCAGAGGUCAGGUAGAAAGAUAACGACCAAACUUGUGGCCAAGAGUUUCAGUCAAAGAGAAGGCAUUGAUUAUACAUAAAUCUGUUUUCUCGUUUCUACCAAAGACUCUUUCCAUAUUAUCAUGGCAUUGGUAGCUCAUUUCAAUUUAGAACUGCAUCAAAUAGAUGUAAAGACAUUUUUUCUUAAUGGAACCUUGUCUGAAGACGUGCACAUGCUAAUACCUGAUGGUUUUGUUGAGCGUGGUAAAGAAAACAUGGCGUGUAAGCUUAAAAGGUCUAUUUAUGGACUUAAAACAAGCAUCCAGACAAUAGUAUUUGAAAUUUUAUGACAUUGUCAUCUCUUAUGGGUUUCAGGAGAAUGUUGUUGAUCAAUAUAUAUACUUGAGGGUCAGUGGAGCAAAUAUAUUAUUUUAGUGCUAUACGUGGAUGAUAUAUUUCUCGUUGCUAAUGACAUUAAUUUUUUACUUGAGACAAAACAAAUGCUGUCAUGCAAUUUUGAUAUGAAAGAUCUCGGUGAAGCUCAUUAUCUAUUAGGGAUAGAGAUUCUUCGUGACAGAUCUAGAAGAGUUCUAGGAUUGUCUCAAAAGGCCUACGUUGAUCGUAUUUUGAAAAGGUUCAACUUACAGUCUUAUGCUCCUGGAAAAGCAUCAAUUUCAAAAGGUGACAAACUUUCCAAGUCUCAAUGUCCAGAUAAUGAUGUAGACAAAGCUAGAAUGCAAACAGCCCCGUAUGCAUCAGUUAUGGGUAGCUUGAUGUAUGCUCAAAUUUGCACUCGCCCUAAUAUCACCUUUACAAUGGGAGUACUUGGGAGAUACCUAAGCAAUUCUGGAUUUGAACACUAGAAGGCUGCAAAGAAAGUGCUCAGAUAUUUGCAAGCCACCAAAGAUUUUGCUUUGAAAUAUCAACAAUCUGACUAUUUAAAUAUAGUUGGAUAUUCUAAUGAUGAUUUCGCAAGAUGUUUAGAAAAUAAUAAAUUCACAUUUUGUUACAUCUUCAUGAUGGCAAGAAGAGCUAUAUCAUCAAAAAGUGCAAAGCAGACACUUAUAGCUUCUUCAACAAUGGAGACAGAAUAUAUAGCAUGUUUUAAGGCUACACGUCAAGUUUUAUGGAUGCGGAAUUUUAUCGCAGCGUAUUGUAUUGGUUGUACCGAGACCAUUAAAAAUAUACUGUCAUAAUUCUGCAGUUGUUUCUUUUUCUCACAAUACAGGGAGUUCCUCACGUUCUAGACAGAUUAAUGUUAAAUAUUUAUUUGUGAGAGAGAAAAUUACUCUAUCUUAUGCAAAACUCAUGUUACUUACUUACAAAACUCAUGUUACUUACUAAAACUUUAGCUCCAAAGUGUUUAAGGAGCAUGUGACUCAUAUGCAAUUAUUAGAAUCCACUUAUAUAUGCUUAGUCAGUGAGAGUUUUGAUUUGUAUUAUGAGUUACAACUUAAAUGAGAUUAUGUAUUACUCAUUUUGUUAUUAUGCAUGCAUAUUGUUAUGUGACAUUGAUAUGCCAUAUAUUGUGUACACAUUUAGUUGAGUAUGACAUUAUGUAUACAGUGACGAUAUUGUGGUCCGAAACAUUUUGUUUAGUCUCAAUAUGGACAUUAUGGACUGAAGCAUUAUGGCUUGGCUUCAGAGUACUUUCUUGAGACAUUUUGUUUCAAUCUCAUUAUGGUAAUAAAAAAGCACGGCUUCCUUUAGACAUCUUGGUAUUAGUCUCAUUAUAAUGAAAAGGAAGCUCAUUUUUCGAGACAUUUUGAUCGAGUCUCAUUAUGGUUGUGAAGAAGCGAUAGUCUAGGAGACGUUUUGUUUUCGUCUCAUUUUGCUAGACAUAUGGACUUUAUGGAAAUGAGUAUGUUGAUCACAUUGUCACGCUAUUUCCAUAAUUAUACUUGUAUACUACUAUAUAGUCACGUGUUUUUAGGUAUCUUGUUGUAUGUAGCAUCUGAUCGGUGCAUAUAUGAUUUUGGUACUUAUGGCACAUUUGGAACUUAUUUAUGUUUUAGGUGAUUGCUAACAUUUUACCUUUUGUUAUAGUCAUAUAUUGAUUAAUUCGGUUGUUUUCAAAAUAUUUAUUUUAUUUUAUUUUAAAACUACAUUAAAAUGACUAGCUGUGUUCUAGUUUUAAAUAGUAACAAGCUAGAGCUUAACCCUAGUAGUUUUGUCAUAUAAUGGGAUUAAAUGAUGGGGGAAUGCCUAUAAAAUUCGAGAGUGACAAUGCAAAAGUGGUUACAUAUCUAGAAAUGUUUAGUGCAAUAUCCAAAGGAAUUAACUAUUAGAUUUAUUUCUCACAUUUUAUAAAUUGACAUAAAUCAUUCUAAUUGUUUUCUAUAUUUUAUCGAAUUAAUACGUGAUUAAUGUCAAAUAUUAAGGAGUAAUUUUGACAGACUCAUUUAUUAUAUUAUGUUAAUGAGUCUGAUUUUAAUAUACCCUAUACAAUAGUAUAUUGUGGAUAAGUAUAAUCUUUAAUUGUGUUAUUUUAACUCAUAAUGAGAUGAACAAAUUUAUAGUAACACGUGAGGCAAUCCCUACACUCAACCAUAAUAUUUAAAUAAUUUUAGCCCAUUGAAAAUUUAUUAUUGAACAAGCUGAGAACAAGAGUAUAGUGCACAAUCUCUUUCUUGCUCCCUUCAUCUCCUGUGUGUGUACAGGGAAUUUGAGCAAAAAUUCAAAUCUUGGGUUAAGGUGAAACAAGCAAAAUUCAGAUAUUUGAAUCUAGUUCAUGAUAGAAGCUAUAUAAUAAACUUACAAACUCAUAUUCAUGACAAAUUAAACUAAAUCUUAAAAUUUAAUUUAAUGUGUGUGUUUACUUGGAAAUGAAAAUGUAAGAUUAAAGGCAUAAAACUCUUUUUUUUUUUCUAUCAUCAGUAAAAGCUCCUAUUUUUCAUCCAUCAGAGUGCAAAUACUUACAAAAAGCUCACGAAUCCGUAUUGGGUAAUGGCUUCGAUUGUUCCAUCUGCAUUAGCAUCGGCUUCCACCACUCCUCCUCCAUCGCAAAUCUAUAAAUCGCAAGCCUUCCGCUUACAAGUCCCUACCAGCUUCACGCUACAAUGAAAUUACACAAUGAUAAUAUUGAUCGUGUUUUUCGGAAGCCAAUUUAAAUUUUGAAAUAAAGAACGAAUAAAUAAAUUAUAAUUUCUCAGCUCUAACUUUCGG